rnacentral:rRNA from 1 species
UACAGAGGUCCCAAGCGUUGUUCGGAUUCACUGGGCGUAAAGGGUGCGUAGGUGGUGAGGCAAGUUCGGUGUGAAAUCUCCGGGCUUAACCCGGAAAUGGCAUUGAAAACUGCCUUGCUAGAGGGUUGGAAGGGAGACUGGAAUUCUUGGUGUAGCAGUGAAAUGCGUAGAUAUCGUAAGGAAGACCAGUGGCGAAGGCGGGUCUCUGGACAGUUCCUGACGCUGAGGCACGAAGGUCAGGGGAGCAAACGGG